rnacentral:rRNA from 1 species
ACGGAAGGCAGCAGUGGGGAAUAUUGCACAAUGGGGGAAACCCUGAUGCAGCGACGCCGCGUGGGUGAAGAAGUAUUUCGGUAUGUAAAGCCCUAUCAGCAGGGAAGAAGAUGACAGUACCUGACUAAGAAGCCCCGGCUAACUACGUGCCAGCAGCCGCGGUAAUACGUAGGGGGCAAGCGUUAUCCGGAUUUACUGGGUGUAAAGGGAGCGUAGGUGGCAUGGCAAGCCAGAAGUGAAAACCCGGGGCUCAACCCCGCGGAUUGCUUUUGGAACUGUCAAGCUAGAGUGCAGGAGGGGCAGGCGGAAUUCCUAGUGUAGCGGUGAAAUGCGUAGAUAUUAGGAGGAACACCGGUGGCGAAGGCGGCCUGCUGGACUGUAACUGACACUGAGGCUCGAAAGCGUGGGGAGCAAACAGGAUUAGAUACCCUGGUA